rnacentral:rRNA from 1 species
GACGAACGCUGGCGGCGUGCCUAAUACAUGCAAGUCGAACGCUUCUUUCCUCCCGAGUGCUUGCACUCAAUUGGAAAGAGGAGUGGCGGACGGGUGAGUAACACGUGGGUAACCUACCCAUCAGAGGGGGAUAACACUUGGAAACAGGUGCUAAUACCGCAUAACAGUUUAUGCCGCAUGGCAUAAGAGUGAAAGGCGCUUUCGGGUGUCGCUGAUGGAUGGACCCGCGGUGCAUUAGCUAGUUGGUGAGGUAACGGCUCACCAAGGCCACGAUGCAUAGCCGACCUGAGAGGGUGAUCGGCCACACUGGGACUGAGACACGGCCCAGACUCCUACGGGAGGCAGCAGUAGGGAAUCUUCGGCAAUGGACGAAAGUCUGACCGAGCAACGCCGCGUGAGUGAAGAAGGUUUUCGGAUCGUAAAACUCUGUUGUUAGAGAAGAACAAGGACGUUAGUAACUGAACGUCCCCUGACGGUAUCUAACCAGAGAGCCACGGCUAACUAC